CAUGUCUCAAACAUGCAUUGAGUGACAUAAAUGGUCACAAAUGUGCCAGGAGGGAUGGUAAAGAGUCUAUGUUUAUAAUAAGAGUCCCGCAAAGAUGAAACCAAAGGAACCAAAUCAGUGUCAAACGAGGGUACCAAUCGCGCAAUGGAAAUAAACAAGGUAUAAUGUAAGGAGUGGAUGAAAAGUGUCGUAAUUGAGCGUAAUAAAGAAUAUGUGUUUUUCCGAA